rnacentral:rRNA from 1 species
CCAGACUCCUACGGGAGGCAGCAGUGAGGAAUAUUGGUCAAUGGGCGAGAGCCUGAACCAGCCAAGUCGCGUGAGGGAAGACGGUCCUAUGGAUUGUAAACCUCUUUUGCCGGGGAGCAAAAAGCGGUACGUGUACCGCAUCGAGAGUACCCGGAGAAAAAGCAUCGGCUAACUCCGUGCCAGCAGCCGCGGUAAUACGGAGGAUGCGAGCGUUAUCCGGAUUUAUUGGGUUUAAAGGGUGCGUAGGUGGUUAAUUAAGUCAGCGGUGAAAGUUUGUGGCUCAACCAUAAAAUUGCCGUUGAAACUGGUUGACUUGAGUAUAUUUGAGGUAGGCGGAAUGCGUGGUGUAGCGGUGAAAUGCAUAGAUAUCACGCAGAACUCCGAUUGCGAAGGCAGCGUACCGGCGCCCAACUGACGCUGAAGCACGAAGGCGUGGGUAUCGAACAGGAUUAGAUACCCGCGUA